GUGUGUUUUUUCUCAUCAUUCUUAGUUGUCUAUGGUUUUUAUUUAAAACAUUGAAUGGGAAAUCCUCUGAUAACAUGGUUUUUACUCUUGUCUGAUUUGUUUCACAGAAUAGAAUGUUGAGAAUAUCAUUUUAGUUUGUGCAGUGUGUGUUCUAAUUCAAACUAGGGUUAAUGCCUAAGUUUACCCUUGUACUUAUUUUCAAGGAGCGCUGGGUAUCUUGUACUUUUAAGUGGAACAAUUUUCCCACUGAACUAUUUUUGAGGAGCAAAAAUGCCCUUAUGCUAGUUAGCGUUAAAUAUUCCAUUUUCUGAUUAUGUGUUAUCACGUGGAAAAAAGCCACAGAGAGAGAGAGAGAGCAAGUCCUUUGACCAAGUCAUGUUCCUUCCUCAUGUUUGUCAAUCGCGGCAGAUAGAGUGCGCGUUUCAGUUGUCCCUUUUAUCCUCUGUCCUUCCGUCAUUCAUCUGACCAAGCCAUAUGAAGAGCUUCUCCUGCCUUUGCUUCCUUUUCCAUCUGUUGUCUUACUUGUGGGUGGACAUCUCUGUAUCUGAGGUGAAAGAUCAAAGGCGGCUUCCUUGUGUCUGAACUUAACAGGGGCUUCCUCAGUCCUUCCAUCACUGCAUCUAUUGCCUUCCUUGGAUGACGGGGCAUCAGCCUGAAAUGAUACAAGUCCUUUUUAAGAGAGAGAUUUGAAGAUUGUUGUUCAAUUUGAUGAAGUUCAAAUUGUUUCUGGUGUUUUGCUUUCUGCUGGUUCUUCAUUUUGACUGAGCUUCUGGGGACUUGCGGUGCUCCGAUUGCUUCUCUCUCUGCUGUUGAUUUUGUUUCUUCCAAAAAAGCCGGAAGGAGGUGGAUUGG